rnacentral:rRNA from 1 species
UUUAGAUAAGCUACUAAGGGCACGAGGUGAAUGCCUUGGUGCUGGGAGGCGAUGAAGGACGCGGUUACCUGCGAUAAGCCCCGGUGAGACGGAAGCAGUCUUUGACCCGGGGAUCUCCGAAUGGGGAAACCCCACUGGUGAACCCAGUGACUCCUGGAUGAAUUCAUAGUCCAGGUAGAGCGACACCCGCUGAAGUGAAACAUCUCAGUAAGCGGAGGAAAAGAAAGCGAAUGCGAUUCCGUAAGUAGCGGCGAGCGAAAGCGGAACAGCCCAAAAUCGAGAGGCUUGCCUCUCGGUGGUGUGGGCCUCAAUGUGGUAAGAGGAAUGGUAAAGGAACGCCUUGGAACAGGCGGCCAGAGAGGGUGAUAGCCCCGUAGAAUAAACCUGACUGAAGCCUAGAGGAUCCCCGAGUAACACGGGAUAAGUGGAACCCCGUGUGAAUUGAUGCGCAAACCAUUGCGUAAGGCUAAAUACUACCCAGCAACCGAUAGUGAACAAGUACCGUGAGGGAAAGGUGAAAAGGACCCCGGAAGGGGAGUGAAAAGUACCUGAAACCACGUGCCUACAAGGUGUCGGAGCAUGUCUUCGGAUGUGUGACGGCGUGCCUUUUGCAUAAUGAGUCUGCGAGUUAUCGUUCGUGGCAAGCCUAAGUAUUUUUGAUACGGAGGCGAAGCGAAAGCGAGUGUGACAAGCGCGACAUUAGUCGCGGGCGAUAGACCCGAAGCGGAGGUGAUCUAGCCAUGGCCAGGUUGAAGCUGCAGUAACAUGUAGUGGAGGACCGAACCGGUGUACGUUGAAAAGUGCUCGGAUGAGCUGUGGCUAGGAGUGAAAGGCUAAUCAAACCCCGUAAUAGCUGGUUCUCUCCGAAAUAGCUUUAGGGCUAGCGUCAGGUAAAGAACUCUGGGGGGUAGAGCACUGAAUGGCUUAGGGCCACUACCAUGGUACCAAAACCAAUCAAACUCCGAAUACCCAGAUCCCAAAUCCCUGGCAGUCAGACUGUGGGUGAUAACAUUCAUGGUCGAAAGGGAAACAACCCAGAUCGCCGGCUAAGGUGCCCAAAUCAAGUUAAGUGGAAAGGAUGUGAAAUUGCAUAGACAGUGAGGAUGUUGGCUUAGAGGCAGCCACCAUUUAAACAUAGCGUAAUAGCUGACUCAUCGAGCGAUUUCGCGCCGAAAAUGAUUGGCGAUUAAACUUGAUACCGAAGCCGCGGAAACGUGUUUACACGUUUGGUAGGAGAGCGUCGUCUGUGCGCUGAAGCAGAACUGUAAGGAACUGUGGAGCGCAGACGAGUGAGGAUGCAGACAUGAGUAGCGAUAAACCAGGUGAGAAUCCUGGUCGCCGUAAACCCAAGGUUUCCUGAAUGCCACGUUCGUCGGCAGAGGGUUAGUCGGGACCUAAGGCGAGGCCGUAAGGCGUAGUCGAUGGACAGACGGUUAAUAUUCCGUCACCAACGAGUAAUUAGUGUUCAGUGCGCGGUUUGAAAGGGACAGUGGUAAUCGUAUUCCACGUCUUACCCUUCGGGGGAAGGCAUGUCUUGGACGAACUGCCUAGAAAAGCUGAUGCACAUGCUAUGCUCGUUGCCCGUACCGUAAACCGCCACAGGUAGGUGGGUGUAAAUGUACUAAGGCGCGCGAGAGAAACCUCUCUAAGGAACUCUGCAAUCUAGCCCCGUAACUUCGGAAGAAGGGGUGCCAUCUUCGGGUGGCCACAGUAAAGGGGGUCUGGCGACUGUUUACCAAAAACACAGCUCUCUGCUAAGAUGUUAAAUCAACGUAUAGGGAGUGACACGUGACCAAUGCGGAAAGAUUAAGGCUGUUCUGUUAACGCAGGGCACCAAAGUCCCCGUGAAUGUCGGCCGUAACUAUAACGGUCCUAAGGUAGCGAAAUUCCUUGUCGGGUAAGUUCC